UUAAGCGACUAAGCGUACACGGUGGAUGCCCUGGCAGUCAGAGGCGAUGAAGGGCGUGCUAAUCUGCGAUAAGCGCCGGUAAGGUGAUAUGAACCGUUAUAACCGGCGAUACCCGAAUGGGGAAACCCAGUGUGACUCGUCACACUAUCAUUAACUGAAUCCAUAGGUUAAUGAGGCGAACCGGGGGAACUGAAACAUCUAAGUACCCCGAGGAAAAGAAAUCAACCGAGAUUCCCCCAGUAGCGGCGAGCGAACGGGGAGGAGCCCAGAGCCUGAAUCAGCAUGUGUGUUAGUGGAAGCGUCUGGAAAGGCGCGCGAUACAGGGUGACAGCCCCGUACACAAAAGCGCAUGUGCUGUGAGCUCGAUGAGUAGGGCGGGACACGUGGUAUCCUGUCUGAAUAUGGGGGGACCAUCCUCCAAGGCUAAAUACUCCUGACUGACCGAUAGUGAACCAGUACCGUGAGGGAAAGGCGAAAAGAACCCCGGCGAGGGGAGUGAAAAAGAACCUGAAACCGUGUACGUACAAGCAGUGGGAGCCCCACCACCAAAGCAUUCUCUGGUGUUGAAGGCCCUGCAAAGCAGCAUCGCGGUGGCGGAGCGUCGUUUGCGACGCCCAACACACAAAACAAGCGGUGAGUGCUUUGGGGUGGGGUGACUGCGUACCUUUUGUAUAAUGGGUCAGCGACUUAUAUUCUGUAGCAAGGUUAACCGUAUAGGGGAGCCGCAGGGAAACCGAGUCUUAACCGGGCGUUAAGUUGCAGGGUAUAGACCCGAAACCCGGUGAUCUAGCCAUGGGCAGGUUGAAGGUUGGGUAACACUAACUGGAGGACCGAACCGACUAAUGUUGAAAAAUUAGCGGAUGACCUGUGGCUGGGGGUGAAAGGCCAAUCAAACCGGGAGAUAGCUGGUUCUCCCCGAAAGCUAUUUAGGUAGCGCCUCGUGAAUUCAUCUCCGGGGGUAGAGCACUGUUUCGGCUAGGGGGCCAUCCCGGCUUACCAACCCGAUGCAAACUGCGAAUACCGGAGAAUGUUAUCACGGGAGACACACGGCGGGUGCUAACGUCCGUCGUGAAGAGGGAAACAACCCAGACCGCCAGCUAAGGUCCCAAAGUCAUGGUUAAGUGGGAAACGAUGUGGGAAGGCCCAGACAGCCAGGAUGUUGGCUUAGAAGCAGCCAUCAUUUAAAGAAAGCGUAAUAGCUCACUGGUCGAGUCGGCCUGCGCGGAAGAUGUAACGGGGCUAAACCAUGCACCGAAGCUGCGGCAGCGAACGUAUCACUUAAAGCGAUUCAGCGGGUUACGAUUGACGGAGCGAAGCGACGUCAAAGCGUAUACAAAGUCGAGUCGGUUUAAGGAUACGUUCGUUGGGUAGGGGAGCGUUCUGUAAGCCUGCGAAGGUGGCCUGUGAGGGUUGCUGGAGGUAUCAGAAGUGCGAAUGCUGACAUAAGUAACGAUAAAGCGGGUGAAAAGCCCGCUCGACGCUGAUGCGUUGUUGGGUAGGGGAGCGUUCUGUAAGCCUGUGAAGGUGGCCUGUGAGGGUUGCUGGAGGUAUCAGAAGUGCGAAUGCUGACAUAAGUAACGAUAAAGCGGGUGAAAAGCCCGCUCGCCGGAAGACCAAGGGUUCCUGUCCAACGUUAAUCGGGGCAGGGUGAGUCGACCCCUAAGGCGAGGCCGAAAGGCGUAGUCGAUGGGAAACGGGUUAAUAUUCCCGUACUUGGUGUUACUGCGAAGGGGGGACGGAGAAGGCUAUGUUGGCCGGGCGACGGUUGUCCCGGUUUAAGCGUGUAGGUGUGUGUUCCAGGUAAAUCCGGUUCACUUUAACACUGAGGCGUGAUGACGAGGCACUACGGUGCUGAAGCAACAAAUGCCCUGCUUCCAGGAAAAGCCUCUAAGCAUCAGGUAACAUCAAAUCGUACCCCAAACCGACACAGGUGGUCAGGUAGAGAAUACCAAGGCGCUUGAGAGAACUCGGGUGAAGGAACUAGGCAAAAUGGUGCCGUAACUUCGGGAGAAGGCACGCUGACACGUAGGUGAAGUGAUUUACUCACGGAGCUGAAGUCAGUCGAAGAUACCAGCUGGCUGCAACUGUUUAUUAAAAACACAGCACUGUGCAAACACGAAAGUGGACGUAUACGGUGUGACGCCUGCCCGGUGCCGGAAGGUUAAUUGAUGGGGUCAGCGCAAGCGAAGCUCCUGAUCGAAGCCCCGGUAAACGGCGGCCGUAACUAUAACGGUCCUAAGGUAGCGAAAUUCCUUGUCGGGUAAGUUCCGACCUGCACGAAUGGCGUAAUGAUGGCCAGGCUGUCUCCACCCGAGACUCAGUGAAAUUGAACUCGCUGUGAAGAUGCAGUGUACCCGCGGCAAGACGGAAAGACCCCGUGAACCUUUACUAUAGCUUGACACUGAACAUUGAGCCUUGAUGUGUAGGAUAGGUGGGAGGCUUUGAAGUGUGGACGCCAGUCUGCAUGGAGCCGACCUUGAAAUACCACCCUUUAAUGUUUGAUGUUCUAACGUGGACCCGUAAUCCGGGUUGCGGACAGUGUCUGGUGGGUAGUUUGACUGGGGCGGUCUCCUCCUAAAGAGUAACGGAGGAGCACGAAGGUUGGCUAAUCCUGGUCGGACAUCAGGAGGUUAGUGCAAUGGCAUAAGCCAGCUUGACUGCGAGCGUGACGGCGCGAGCAGGUGCGAAAGCAGGUCAUAGUGAUCCGGUGGUUCUGAAUGGAAGGGCCAUCGCUCAACGGAUAAAAGGUACUCCGGGGAUAACAGGCUGAUACCGCCCAAGAGUUCAUAUCGACGGCGGUGUUUGGCACCUCGAUGUCGGCUCAUCACAUCCUGGGGCUGAAGUAGGUCCCAAGGGUAUGGCUGUUCGCCAUUUAAAGUGGUACGCGAGCUGGGUUUAGAACGUCGUGAGACAGUUCGGUCCCUAUCUGCCGUGGGCGCUGGAGAACUGAGGGGGGCUGCUCCUAGUACGAGAGGACCGGAGUGGACGCAUCACUGGUGUUCGGGUUGUCAUGCCAAUGGCACUGCCCGGUAGCUAAAUGCGGAAGAGAUAAGUGCUGAAAGCAUCUAAGCACGAAACUUGCCCCGAGAUGAGUUCUCCCUGAGACUUAAAGUCUCCUGAAGGAACGUUGAAGACGACGACGUUGAUAGGCCGGGUGUGUAAGCGCAGCGAUGCGUUGAGCUAACCGGUACUAAUGAACCGUGAGGCUUAACCUU
rnacentral:rRNA from 1 species